UCCUAUGGCAACGGGUCCCUCACCAACGCUACCACCGCGCCUGUGCUUCUCAUUUGCCUAGUGCUCAGGUCCAGGCUGGGUCUCAGGUCCGAGGGCAACCUCAGAGACCCCUCAACCUGGCCUCCCAGACCCCAAGCCGGUGCCUCAUACUGACAAUAGCAGGAACAGCGCACCUCCGUUGACUGCUCACUGCAGGUCGGGCCCUGUCCCAAACUGGUGAUGAGAGCAUCGACUGGAGUUAAAUAAGCUGAUGGUUCGAAUCUCACACUACCCCCACAGGCGAUGUCCUCCUGGGCAAGUUACUCACCUCGGCAUGCUUGGGUUUCCCCGUCUUUUAAGAGGCGGACGCUAAUAAUAACUAUCUUAUAGGGCUGUCGUGUGGACAAAUGAAUAUUCAUUCUCCUCUUUUCCAUCCAUUUCUCUACCCAGACCCCUCCCCUGAAAUCUCAUUCCUCAUAACCCUAUAUCUUAGACUCUCCUCCAAACACUAACCCUUUCUCCCACGCUACUCUUCCUCAAAACUUUUCUGGCCUCGCAUACCCCUCAUGCCCCAGGUCUGUAGAUUUUCCUCCUCUGCAGGACGUUCGUUAGUUCGUUCAUUCAUUCAUUCAACAGACAUUUUUCUGACUCUAUCCUUCCUCCCAGGCCUUGUGCUAGACACUGAUGAUAUGGAAAUGAACUGGCCAUGGCUUCUGCCCUCAAGGAACUCUUAGUCUCAAGGAGAGACGGACAGGGAAGCGAAGGCACACAGUAUAUUAAGACAAUGGGAAGUCUGGUACAGGAUGCAUUGGAAUUUGGAGGAAGGAGCCUGCUUGGUGACAUCACAGAACUCUUCCCAGAGGAAGUGGCAUUCAAUUGGCGAAUGAGCAAAUUAACUGUGAUAUAUCCAUAUAAUGAACUAUUAUUCAGCAAUAAAAGGAAAUCAUCUAUCUAGCCAUGAAAAGACACAGAGCGGCAUAUUGCUAAGUGAAAGAAGCCAGUCUGAAAAAACCAUGUACUGUAUGAUUCCAAUUGUAGGGCGUUCUGGAAAAAAGGAAACUUCUACAUAAGAAUGGGGCUCUAAGGACCACGGCAGCGCUGGAGCGAGGGGACAUGUCGUUUGGGUCCCCCCGGAAGCAGACGCUGAGGUGAAGUCAGGAAUGCAAGAGAGAGAGGGCGAGGAAGCGGGCUUGGGCAGCAGAGCCUCUGAGCGGACGCCGACCUGGCCCCUGCCGCGCUCGGGCGUUUGAGGCGGGAACCCCAAAGCUGAUGUGUAUCCGAAGGGGCCCAUCUGUCACUCACUCCUCCCAGCUGACCUUCCAGCUCUUUCUCCCUCCCAGACUUCGGUGCAGCCUCAGCGAGACAUCAUUCGCACAAACUCUGCCGGGACAAAGCCAAGGUUGUGGGUCUGCAGUCUGGACCCCAGUAGGGGUGAGACCAACAUAUUGGUCUUGAGGUGGGAGGAAGCGUGGCCCAGGGCAGAGCCCACAGGGGAGUCUUCUGGAUCUGGGGAAUGGGCCCCCAGGCGAAGAAGAGGGGCUUUGCUUUAUGGACAAAACAAAACGAAAUGAAACCAAGAAACAGCAGCAACGACAAGACCCCCAAACCUCGUAACUGAACCUGUUUUCCUCUUUGCUUUGGCUGCUAGGAAGCUCAGGAACAACUCUGGGAGAAUUUCUACAUACUGAUUUUCCUUGGCUUCCUGUCAUUAUUUAACCCUUGUUUUCCCCCUGGGGCAACGCGGCCUAGAGGAAGAAC